rnacentral:tRNA from 1 species
GGGCCCGUAGCUCAGCAAGGCUAGAGCGGCGGACUCUUAAUCCGUAGGUCGCGGGUUCAAUUCCCGCCGGGCCCG